GGAUACUGAACCAAAACCCCACAAACAUCACCGCUUUUGUAAUUGAUAUCCUUAAGAUCCAUAGUAACUACCUUAAGGUCAAAACCUUCAGCUCUAGUCUUACAGAUAUCAAUAGUUUGUGGGUGACAGUUGCUUGCAACAAUAAAAGUCCUUUUCUUCCCUUUUAGGAUACUAUUACACAUAGCCAUGGCCUCAGCAGCAGCAGUCCCUUCAUCAAGCAAUGAAGCAUUUGACAUGGGCAAUCCAGUGAGAUCCGCAAUCAUGGUUUGAUAAUUAAGCAAGGACUCCAACCUCCCCUGAGAUAUCUCAGCUUGGUAAGGCGUGUACUGUGUGUACCAAGCCGGAUUCUCCAUUAUAUUUCUCAAAAUAACCGGUGGAACAUGUGUGUUAUAAUACCCCAUCCCUAUAUAUGACUUAAAAACCUUGUUCUUUGAUGCCAAUUUUUUCAUGUGUUCAAUCAUUUGACUCUCAGUUAGCCCCUCAUCAUACUUUGAGAACUUCAUUGAAUCAAUUCUAAUAGAUUUAGGCACAGUGGCAUCUAUCAACGAAUCAAGAUUAUAAAACCCACAUAACUCAGCCAUUUUAGUUUGCUCCUCCG
rnacentral:misc_RNA from 1 species